UACGGAGAGUGCAAGCGUUGUUCGGAAUUACUGGGCGUAAAGGGCGUCUAGGUGGACCAGUAAGUCAGAUGUGAAAGCCCUCGGCUCAACCGAGGAAGUGCAUCUGAAACUACUGGACUUGAGUACUGGAGGGGACAGUGGAAUUCCUGGUGUAGAGGUGAAAUUCGUAGAUAUCAGGAGGAACACCAGUGGCGAAGGCGACUGUCUGGCCAAGUACUGACACUGAAGCGCGAAAGCGUGGGGAGCAAAC
rnacentral:rRNA from 1 species